rnacentral:rRNA from 1 species
UACGUAGGGUGCAAGCGUUAAUCGGAAUUACUGGGCGUAAAGGGCGCGUAGGCGGUUUUGUAAGUCGGAUGUGAAAGCCCAGGGCUUAACCUUGGAAGUGCAUCCGAAACUGCAUAACUGGAGUCUCGGAGAGGGUGGUGGAAUUCCCAGUGUAGAGGUGAAAUUCGUAGAUAUUGGGAAGAACACCGAUGGCGAAGGCAGCCAUCUGGACCGACACUGACGCUGAGGCGCGAAAGCGUGGGGAGCAAACAGG